AUUGAACGCUGGCGGCAUGCCUUACACAUGCAAGUCGAACGGUAACAGGUCUUCGGAUGCUGACGAGUGGCGAACGGGUGAGUAAUACAUCGGAACGUGCCCAGACGUGGGGGAUAACGAGGCGAAAGCUUUGCUAAUACCGCAUACGAUCUAAGGAUGAAAGCAGGGGACCGCAAGGCCUUGCGCGUUUGGAGCGGCCGAUGGCGGAUUAGGUAGUUGGUGGGAUAAAAGCUUACCAAGCCGACGAUCUGUAGCUGGUCUGAGAGGACGACCAGCCACACUGGAACUGAGACACGGCCCAGACGCCUACGGGAGGCAGCAGUGGGGAAUUUUGGACAAAGGGCGAAAGCCUGAUCCAGCAAGGCCGCGUGCAGGAUGAAGGCCUUCGGGUUGUAAACUGCUUUUGUACGGAACGAAAAGGCUCUGGCUAAUACCUGGGGCACAUGACGGUACCGUAAGAAUAAGCACCGGCUAACUACGUG
rnacentral:rRNA from 1 species